rnacentral:rRNA from 1 species
GAGCCCAAACCGGCGGUGUCGCAAGGCAUGUGCCGGGGUUAUAGGACCGUCCGUGACGUUGGAGUGAGCCUAGUGGAAGCGCAUGGAGCGGCGCGCCACAGCGGGUGAGAGCCCCUUACACGAAAGGCUUGCGAAUACAGGGCGGCACCUGAGUAGGCCGGGACACGAGAAAUCCCGGUUGAAUUGUCGGGGACCAUCCCGAAAGGCUAAAUACUACCGAGAGACCGAUAGCGAACGAGUACCGUGAGGGAAAGGUGAAAAGCACCUCG